UACGUAGGGGGCUAGCGUUGUCCGGAAUCAUUGGGCGUAAAGCGCGUGUAGGCGGCCUUGUAAGUCCGUUCUGAAAGCCCGGGGCUCAACCCCGGGAGGCGGAUGGAUACUGCAAGGCUCGAGUCCGGAAGAGGCAAGUGGAAUUUCCGGUGUAGCGGUGAAAUGCGUAGAUAUCGGAAGGAACAUCAGUGGCGAAAGCGAACUUCCUGGACCAGUACCGACGUUCAGGCACGAAAGCGUGGGGAGCAAACAGG
rnacentral:rRNA from 1 species